GAUGAACGCUGGCGGCGUGCCUAAUACAUGCAAGUCGAGCGAACAGAUAAGGAGCUUGCUCCUUUGACGUUAGCGGCGGACGGGUGAGUAACACGUGGGUAACCUACCUAUAAGACUGGAAUAACUCCGGGAAACCGGGGCUAAUGCCGGAUAACAUUUAGAACCGCAUGGUUCUAAAGUGAAAGAUGGUUUUGCUAUCACUUAUAGAUGGACCCGCGCCGUAUUAGCUAGUUGGUAAGGUAACGGCUUACCAAGGCAACGAUACGUAGCCGACCUGAGAGGGUGAUCGGCCACACUGGAACUGAGACACGGUCCAGACUCCUACGGGAGGCAGCAGUAGGGAAUCUUCCGCAAUGGGCGAAAGCCUGACGGAGCAACGCCGCGUGAGUGAUGAAGGUCUUCGGAUCGUGAAACUCUGUUAUUAGGGAAGAACAAAUGUGUAAGUAACUGUGCACGUCUUGACGGUACCUAAUCAGAAAGCCACGGCUAACUACGUG
rnacentral:rRNA from 1 species